GACGAACGCUGGCGGCGUGCUUAACACAUGCAAGUCGAACGAUGAAGAAAAGAAUUGAAGCUUCGGCAGAAAUUCAUUUCGGAUUAGUGGCAGACGGGUGAGUAACGCGUGAGCAACCUACCUCUUACAAAGGGAUAGCCUCGGGAAACCGGGAUUAAUACCAUAUAACAUUGCGACGAAGCAUUUCGAUGCAAUCAAAGCUACGGCGGUAAGAGAUGGGCUCGCGUCCCAUUAACCAGAUGGUGAGGUAACGGCUCACCAUAGUAACGAUGGGUAACCGGCCUGAGAGGGUGAACGGUCACACUGGAACUGAGACACGGUCCAGACUCCUACGGGAAGCAGCAGUGGGGAAUAUUGCACAAUGGAGGGAACUCUGAUGCAGCGACGCCGCGUGAGUGAUGAAGGAAUUCGUUUCGUAAAACUCUGUUCUAUGGGAAGAAAAGGACUGUACCAUAGGAGAAAGCUCCGGCUAAAUACGUG
rnacentral:rRNA from 1 species